rnacentral:rRNA from 1 species
UACAGAGGGGGCAAGCGUUGUUCGGAAUUACUGGGCGUAAAGGGCGCGUAGGCGGCCCGCUAAGUCGAACGUGAAAUCCCCGAGCUCAACUCGGGAACUGCGUCCGAUACUGGCGGGCUUGAAUCCGGGAGAGGGAUGCGGAAUUCCAGGUGUAGCGGUGAAAUGCGUAGAUAUCGGAAGGAACAUCAGUGGCGAAAGCGGCUUCCUGGACCAGCACCGACGUUCAGGCACGAAAGCGUGGGGAGCAAACAGG